rfam:Schistosoma margrebowiei strain Zambia genome assembly, scaffold: SMRZ_contig0000025
AUCUAACUGACGAGUCUCAAAUAGGACGAAAUGUAUGUCCUGGAU